AAGCCCCGAAUCUUACUAAUCAACUUGGCGGUAGAUAUAAGAAUUCAGGGCUAAAUGCUAAGGUAAUUUUAACACAUGGAUAGACAAAGACAAUCCACACAUAACCGCCAU
rnacentral:ncRNA from 1 species